AUGACCAGGCGUGCAUCCGACUGCCACUUGGCCGCGGCCCCACUGCCGUCACCCCCACGCGCUGCUCCGCCCAAACUCAAGCAGGCCAUCCCGCUCGCCUCCAAACCGCAUGUGCUUUCGCGCACUGCGAUACGGCUCCGCCCCUGUCGGUGUGCCCGGCCGCUUCAAGUCGCUGUCAUCCACCUCUACAACUUCACCGCCGUGGGACUACCAGCGCGCCAAGCAGCACCACCGGUCCUAAUUAGUGACCAGGACAGGAGCCUCGCCUCCGAGUGA
rnacentral:rRNA from 1 species